rnacentral:lncRNA from 1 species
GGGGGAAAUGGGGAAUUGGGGGAAAUUGGGGGGGAAAUGGGGGGAAUUUUGCCCCCAAUUUUGCCCCAUUUCCCCUCCAUUUUGCCCCAUUUCUGCCCAUUUUCCCCAAUUCCCACCUCUUUUGGCCCUUUUUUGCCCAAUUCUGCCCCUAUUUCGCCCAUUUCUGCCCCAUUUUCCCCCCAUUUCUGCCCAUUUCUGCCCAUUUUUUCACCCAUUUUUCCCCCAUUUCCCCCAAUUUCACCCCAAUAUUCCUCUCUGCUGUCCAUUCUGACCCCCAUUUCCCCCCAAUUCUGCCCCAUUUCCCCCCAGUUUUGCCCCAUCCCCCCCCCACUUCCACCCCACUCCCUCCUCCCACUGUAUCCCCCUAUGGGACCCAUCCCCAUUUAGGGUCCAAAAGGUGGGAUUUUGGGGCCCAAAAAGUGGCAUUUUGGGUCAUUUUGGGUCGAAAAAGUGGCAUUUUGGGUCCUGGCAGAGCACAUACAGCACCUGAAGGCGGAGGGCUGCGGCUGCAGCGCCCCCUACAGGCGCGGAGGUCCCCAUUCUGCCCCCAUUUGCCCCAAUUUCCCCCCAAUUUCCGCCCAUUUUCUGCCCAUUUUUUCCCCCAUUUUUCCCCCAUUUCCCCCAAUUUCACCCCAAUAUUCCCCUCUGCUGUCCAUUCUGACCCCCAUUUCCCCUCAAUUCUGCCCCAUUUCCACCCCAAUAUCUCCCCCCCCCCCCCCCCCCCCUCCCCUUCGCUCCCUCCUCCCACAGUAUCCCCCUAUGGGACCCAUCCCCAUUUAGGGUCCAAAAGGUGGGAUUUUGGGGUCCAAAAAGUGGCAUUUUGGGUCAUUUUGGGUCGAAAAAGUGGCAUUUUGGGUCCUGGCAGAGCACAUACAGCACCUGAAGGCGGAGGGCUGCGGCUGCAGCGCCCCCUACAGGCGCGGAGGUCCCCAUUCUGCCCCAUUCUGCCCCCAUUUGCCCCCAUUUCUGCCCCAUUUCCCCCCCAUUUCUGCCCAUUUUUCACCCAUUUUUCCCCCAUUUCCCCCAAUUUCACCCCAAUAUUCCCCUCUGCUGUCCAUUCUGACCCCCAUUUCCCCCCACUUUUGCCCCAUUUCCCCCCAAUUUUGCCCCAUUUCCCUCCACUUCUACCCCACUCGCUCCCCC